rnacentral:rRNA from 1 species
CCUACGGGUGGCAGCAGUGGGGAAUAUUGCACAAUGGGCGAAAGCCUGAUGCAGCGACGCCGCGUGAGGGAUGACGGCCUUCGGGUUGUAAACCUCUUUCAGCAGGGAAGCGGUACCUGCAGAAGAAGCACCGGCUAACUACGUGCCAGCAGCCGCGGUAAUACGUAGGGUGCGAGCGUUGUCCGGAUUUAUUGGGCGUAAAGAGCUCGUAGGCGGCCUGUCGCGUCGGAUGUGAAAGCCCGGGGCUCAACCCCGGGUUUGCAUUCGAUACGGGCAGGCUAGAGUGUGGUAGGGGAGAUCGGAAUUCCUGGUGUAGCGGUGAAAUGCGCAGAUAUCAGGAGGAACACCGGUGGCGAAGGCGGAUCUCUGGGCCAUACUGACGCUGAGGAGCGAAAGCGUGGGGAGCGAACAGGAUUAGAUACCCUUGUAGUC